rnacentral:misc_RNA from 1 species
GAUGAAGAACGUAGUGAAAUGCGAUAAGUAAUGUGAAUUGCAGAAUUCAGUGAAUCAUCGAAUCUUUGAACGCACAUUGCGCCCGCCAGUAUUCUGGCGGGCAUGCCUGUUCGAGCGUCAUUACAACCCUCAGGCCCCCGGGCCUGGCGUUGGGGAUCGGCGGAGCCCCCCGUGGGCACACGCCGUCCCCCAAAUGCAGUGGCGGUCCCGCCGCAGCUUCCAUCGCGUAGUAGCUAACACCUCGCGACUGGAGAGCGGCGCGGCCACGCCGUAAAACACCCAACUCUUCUGAAGUUGACCUCGAAUCAGGUAGGAAUACCCGCUGAACUUAAGCAUAUCAAUAAGCGGAGGA